rnacentral:rRNA from 1 species
UACGGGGGGGGCAAGCGUUGUUCGGAAUUACUGGGCGUAAAGGGCUCGUAGGCGGCCAACUAAGUCAGACGUGAAAUCCCUCGGCUUAACCGGGGAACUGCGUCUGAUACUGGAUGGCUUGAGUGUAGGAGAGGGAUGCGGAAUUCCAGGUGUAGCGGUGAAAUGCGUAGAUAUCGAAGAGGAACACCUGGAGGUGAAGACGGGUUGCUGGGCCGACACUGACGCUGACAGCGCGAAAGCCAGGGGAGCAAACGGG